rnacentral:rRNA from 1 species
AACGAACGCUGGCGGCGUGGAUUAGGCAUGCAAGUCGAACGCGAAAGAGGGGGUAACUCCUCGAGUAGAGUGGCGAACGGGUGAGUAACACGUGAGAAACCUGCCUUCAGCAGGGGGAUAACACUCCCAACGGGGUGCUAAUACCGCAUGAGACCACGGAUUCGCAUGGAUCUGGGGUCAAAGGUGGCCUCUGCUUGCAAGCUACCGGCUGAAGAUGGUCUCGCGCCCAUUGCUAGUUGGUGGGUAAUGGCCUACCAAGGCACGAUGGGUAGCUGGUCUGAGAGGAUGGGUCAGCCACACUGGGACUGAGAUAC